rnacentral:RNase_P_RNA from 1 species
CCAACGAGGCAAUCGCUGCCGCAAGGUAGAGGAAAGUCCAUGCUCACACUAUCUGCGAUGAUAGUACUGAUUAUGCUGAUUUAAUAAAUAAGGUCAGGCACAGACGGCGAUGACUAAUCCUAAGUAGCAAUAUAUGGACGAGCAUCUUAAGGUGCAACAGUGACGAAGUUUAACAGAAAUGUUAAAAGUGGAACGAUGUAAACCCCAUAAGUGAGAAACCCAAAUUUGGUAGGGGAACCCAAAGUUGACGAAAUGAAGAAAACAGGGAGGCAUUAGCCUAGAUAAAUGGUUGCCACCGGUUAUCCGGAACAGAACAUGGCUUACGU